rnacentral:rRNA from 1 species
UACAGAGGGUGCGAGCGUUAAUCGGAAUUACUGGGCGUAAAGCGCGCGUAGGCGGCUUUUCAAGCCGAUUGUGAAAUCCCCGGGCUUAACCUGGGAACUGCAGUCGGGACUGUCUAGCUAGAGUAUGGGAGAGGGAAGUGGAAUUUCAGGUGUAGCGGUGAAAUGCGUAGAUAUCUGAAGGAACAUCAGUGGCGAAAGCGACUUCCUGGAUCAAUACUGACGCUCAUGUGCGAAAGCGUGGGGAGCAAACAGG